GCGGGAAUAGCUCAGUUGGUAGAGCACGACCUUGCCAAGGUCGGGGUCGAGAGUUCGAGUCUCUUUUCCCGCUCCA
rnacentral:tRNA from 2 species